rnacentral:pre_miRNA from 1 species
AUACUACUCCCUCCGUCCAACAAAAAAUGUCUUAAAUUUGUCAAAAUUUGGAUGUAUCUAGACAUGAUUUAGUGUAUAGAUGCAUUUAAAUUGGUCAAAGUUGAGACAUUUUUUGUUGGACGGAGGAGUAUACU